GAUGAACGCUGGCGGCGUGCCUAAAACAUGCAAGUCGAGCGAACAGACGAGGAGCUUGCUCCUCUGACGUUAGCGGCGGACGGGCGAGUAACACGUGGAUAACCUACCUCUAAUACUGGGAUAACUUCGGGAAACCGGAGCUAAUACCGGAUAAUAUAUUGAACCGCAUGGUUCAAUAGUGAAAGACGGUUUUGCUGUCACUUAUAGCUGGAUCCGCGCCGCAUUAGCUAGUUGGUAAGGUAACGGCUUACCAAGGCGACGAUGCGUAGCCGACCUGAGAGGGUGAUCGGCCACACUGGAACUGAGACACGGUCCAGACUCCUACGGGAGGCAGCAGUAGGGAAUCUUCCGCAAUGGGCGAAAGCCUGACGGAGCAACGCCGCGUGAGUGAUGAAGGUCUUCGGAUCGUAAAACUCUGUUAUUAGGGAAGAACAAAUGUGUAAGUAACUAUGCACGUCUUGACGGUACCUAAUCAGAAAGCCACGGCUAACUACGUG
rnacentral:rRNA from 1 species